rfam:Formosa sp. Hel1_33_131, complete genome.
AUAUUGGUUUUUUUCAAAACUACAUAAAGUUUAGUAAAAAACUAUAU